rnacentral:lncRNA from 1 species
GAACCUCAGGGAAGGGGAGGCGCUGAACCAAAGUUUGGUUAAUCAAGGGUUUUAUUUUGAGGGAUCACAGUUCCGUGAAUCAUUUUUAAGGCAAAAAAGCAAAACAAACAACAACAACAACAACAACAACAAAAAACUGGGAAUUUCAGAUCUGUGUCUGGCUUUGUCUUAGGUGACAAGGAAUUUAUCCACAAAUUCCCUCUGGGGAAAGGUGGUUCCUCCAGGGAGCCCUUGCCUGGAACACAGAAGCUUGGGGGCUUUUCCUAACUUUUCCAGUCACCCAGGCCUCAGGGAGACAUCGUCCGUGUGGUUGGAGAGAGAAGGAACGGGGCGCGUUUUUCAUCACACGUGUAUACUUUCGUCCUUGUGAAUUUCAUCUAUCUAAAACUGAGCAAUUUAAACAAAUACACUUUUAAAGUGAACUUUAAAUGAAUACGUAAAAGACCAUCAAUUCCAAAAACCUCUUUCUUAUAACAGUUGAGAAUUCUUCCCAAAUAGUUCUGGAUGUAGAAAGAAGUCUUGGGCAGUGUUGCUUUGGUGAAAGCGCUGAGGUUAGACACUUUUACCAGUGUUUUGGUAACUCGGUUCUGGUGGGUACAUGCGCUGGCACUGGCUCUUGGUUUAAUCUCACAGAUGGGCAUUGUACACCCCACACAUGUGCCGCGUUUGCAUAUCUCUGCCUCUCCUCCACUAGAGCAGAUCAUGAAACUGGAGACAGAUUCCAGUGCAAAUACCUGCAAAUAGAGCGUUCCUGUUCCUCUGCUGAAAGGAUCUUGCUGAAGCCUGUGGUUGUCACUCUAAGCCCAGGUUCAGCAGACGGAGGACAGUUUGGAAUAUUUUCUCUCACCCCUGGGGGCUAAUCUUUUCCAGGUCUUCAUUUUCAGCCUCAGCCAGGAGUCUUCUUUUUUACUGUUCCCUCGUCAAUGAGCCACUGCUCUGUCAUAUUUUGGCCACAGCUUUUGACUUACACGUGCUUAGGCAGCGUUCACACACCCAAAGAUGCCAGCCUUGUCAGGACCCAGGGUAUACGGAGCGUUCGUUAACUCGAUCUGCCUUUUCGGGGCGCCAGAAACGUGAUUUCAAUCACCAGUUAAAGUUCACCAGUCCAGUUCUCUUCACAAUACUUAAAAGGAUUCUUUCACUGAAGGUAUUAUAACAGGAUAAUUAAAGCCACUCCUGGGAAAUGAACGAUAUACAGCUUUCUAAACACAGUUGUCUCUCAGAAUCUGCAGGGGAUUUAUUCCAGGAUAUCCCACCCCAACCCCUUUGGGUCCUCAGAUCCAUGGAUGUUCUAGUCCCAUGUAUAAAAUAGGAAAAUCAGAAUGGAGUCAGUAUGGCCAAGAGAGCUCUCUAAAAUGGAGCUGGGAGGCCACUGAGCAGGUUGGAUUUAGUAAACCUCAGCCCAGAUGGAAUCUGAACUUUUGACCACUUUUUGUCUUAAUACAGGCAUCCAGAACAUCUGCAUAGUGUUCUAGAAAUUCAAGACACUUACAGGACUCUUACUAAAUAACUUGUGACAGCCUAUCCCUUAAGGACAAAUACUUCCUUUUUGCAUCAGAGCCAAUCAUAAUUCUUGCAAGAAAACUUCAACAACCUUGUGGCUUUUGCCUUUAUAGGCCCCUUUCUCUUCCCUGGGUCUCUCUCAUGGUUUUACCUGAAUCCAUGUCCGCCAAAUUGGAAUUCCUAAGAUCUCAAGUAAAGCUCUUGGUUUUCCCCCUUUUUCCCCCUGGCUGCACCAGUGGCUUGCAGAAGUUCCUGGGCCAGGGAUUGAACCCACACCAUAGCAGCAACCCAAGCCACUGUAGUGACAAUGCCAGAUGCUUCUCUUGCUGCGCCACAAGUUCUUUGCAGCCUCAAUACUGAUUAUUGUUCAGCAGUAUGUGCAUAUACUACUCCACAUCCUCCCAUAUAUACUUUAUUUAUUUUUUUAGGGCUGCACCUGUGGCAUAUGGGCAGCCCCAGGCUAGGGGUCACAUCAGAGCUGAAGCUGCCGGCCUACACCACAGCCACGGCAAUGCCAGAUCCUUAACCCACUGAGCAAGGCCAGGGAUCAAACCUGUGUCUUCAUGGAUACUAGUCACGUUCGUUAACUGCAGGGCCACAAUGGGAACUCCGUCCCAUAUACUUUAUUUUUUUUUUAUUUUUUAUUUUCCCACUGUACAGCAAGGGGAUCAAGUUAUCCUUACAUGUAUAGGUUACAAUUACAUUUUUUCCCCACCUUUUGUUCUGUUGCAACAUGAGUAUCUAGACAAAGUUCUCAAUGCUACUCAGCAGGAUCUCCUUGUAAAUCUAUUCUAAGUUGUGUCUGAUAAGCCCAAGCUCCCGAUCCCUCCCACUCCCUCCCCCUCCCAUCUGGAGGGGCUGUGGAGAAAAGGGAACCCUCCUGCACUGCUGGUGGGAAUGUCAACUGGUACAGCCACUAUGGAGAACAGUUUGGAGAUACCUUAGAAAUCAAUACAUAGAACUUCCAUAUGACCCCGCAAUCCCACUCUUGGGCAUAUAAAAGAGACACAUACACCCGCAUGUUCAUUCCCGCACUAUUCACAAUAGCCAGGACAUGGAAGCAACCCAAAUGUCCAUCGACAGAGGAUUGGAUUCGGAAGAUGUGGUAUAUAUACACAAUGGAAUACUACUCAGCCAUAAAAAGAAUGACAUAAUGCCAUUUGCAGUAACAUGGAUGGAACUAGAGAAUCUCAUACUGAGUGACAUGAGCCAGAAAGACAAAGACAAAUACCAUAUGAUAUCACUUAUAGCCGGAAUCUAAUACCCAGCACAAAUGAACAUCUCCUCAGAAAAGAAAAUCAUGGACUUGGAGAAAAGACUUGUGGCUGCCUCCCAUAUACUUUAAAUCAUUUCUAGAUUACUUGUACUGAAUACAAUGGAAAUGUUACAUCAAUAGUUGCUGGCGUAUUGCAAAUUCAAGUUUUGCUUCUUGGAACUUUCUAGAAUUUUUUUCCUGCAUAUUUGUGAUCCAUGGUUGGUUGAAUAGGUGGUUGAUUUGGAACCUGUGGAUACAGAGGGCCAAUUGUAGUGAACUUUAGCAAGUUGAGAUAGAUCAGAACAAGGCUAGUGAUGGACUGGUUGUUCCGUCAACUUCCAAGUCGGCCUUAGAUAGAAAUGGUUGAUUCUUAAACAGGAAGGCCUGAGAGAAAUACCUGUCCUAUCCAUAGAAUGUACCUUGCAGGAGUUCCCUGGUGGCCUAUCGGUUAAGGACUUGGCAUUGUCACUGCUGUGGUUCGGGUUCGAUCCCUGGCCUUGCUCAGUAAGUUAAGGAUCUGGCCUUGCCAUCAGCUGUGGUGUAGGUCACAGACCAGGCUCGGAUCUGGCUUUGCUGUGGCUGUGAUGUAGGCCAGCAGCUGCAGCUCCGAUUCGACCCUUAGCCUGGGAACGUCCAUAUGCUGCAGGUAUGGCCCUAAAAAGACUAAAACGAGAAAACAAACAAAAAACCACUGAAUAGUGACAAUCCUGAUUAACUCCACUUCUAACUCUGUUGACUCCCAGCUCUCUCCUCUAAUGCCUUUCUGUUCGCAAUAAUGUAGAGUUUAAUUUUCACUUAACCUUCACUUAUUUGCUUCUGGGAAGGGGUAUUCAUUUAACCAACAUUUUUUUUUCCUGUGAUGGACAGCUUUAAGUUAAAAAUAAUAGUCUUUAGAGAGUCCACAUUAUACGUAGAGGUGCUCAAAGUGAAGGUAGCUAUCUGUAACAUUACAACAUUGUUCCCACCAAAAAAGUAAAAUAUCCCUGUAUCUUCAAAAGCUGAUGGCUUUUUUUUUAUUAAGUAGAUUUACAGUGUUGUGCCAGUUUCUGCUGCACAGCACAGUGACCCUACAUACACAUACAUUCCUUUUCUUAUAUUAUCUUCCAUCCUUAGGAAGCAUGGGUUGUUUUGGUUUGAUUUUUUUGGCCACACCUGUGGCACGUAGAAGUUCCUGGACCAGGGAUCGAACCCAAACCGCAGCAGUGACUUGAGCCCCAUCAGUGGCAACACUGGAUCCUUUAUCUGCUGCACCACAACAGAAUGCCACUGCUGGCUUUUUACGGGGAGAAAGGCUGCUGACGACAGUUCUCAACCAACAUAUGGAAAGUAUUACAGCCCAAGAAGUGGAAGAGUCCUGAAUUACAACCAGGAGAUCUCCCUGCUCAUAGUUAUAAGCACUUAGGAAAUCAUCAAUGUAUAAAUGCAGCAAUGCGCAGCUUUCAGCUCUUGGCCGAAGGUGAGCAAAGAUUUUUUUUUUUCAUUCCACAAUCAAUGAUUUACAUUUAUAACGCUUCCAAGCUAAAGCUAGCAUUCUCAUUACAUGUAUGCAUGAGAAUGAUACAGGGCCAUUUCCUGAUGAAUAAGCAGAUUUCCUAGCAUUCAGUGGAAACUAAAGCACAAAAAAAGGGAAAAUGUCGCUGAGCAAAGCACCUAUGUUCCUUUGCUUUCUGGACUGGCAGCCAAAAGUGACAUGAAAAAUGAGUGCGGGCCUCUCAUGUCAGGCCCGCUGAGGGUAGGGUCUCAGGUGUAGCAAAGCCAAGAGGUGCUAAACCACUGUGCCUGACUUUCCAAACGGAGGCAGAGGCAGGCCUGUGAGGAGAGAAGGACUUGGUCUGGGGCAAGAGCACUAGUCCAGGGAGUUCCCCUUUUUUUUUUUUUUUUUUAAUCAGUGCUUCUUUUGUAUUUCUCCAGCUUCUACAAUUCCUGGUCUCUCUCUAUUCUUCAUUCUCUGGGCUCGCUCGUAAUUCCACCUCUUUCUCACAGUGCGGUCUCUUUCAAAUUCUCUCUUCACGCUCACAGUUCUACAUGUUAUCUCUUCUCUCCUCCAACUCUCCUGCCUCUCCCACAGUUGCCACAUUUUCCUACAAUGUCUUUCCUACAAUGUCUUACGGUCUUAGAUUUUCAUUUUAUCCCAGUUCUAUACUCUCAGCCCCCACAAUUCCUUGUUGUACCCACAAUUCCACACAAGCGCCAUAAUUCCUUGUUGGUCUCACAAUUCCACACAGCCCCUCCCCCCACGUCACUACUGCACCCACAAUUCCUUGCUGCACGCGCGAUUCCAUGCAGGCCCCACCACAUCACUGUUGCUCCCACAAUUCCCUAUUUGCUCCCUCCGUUCUGCAUUUUUUCCAACCCCUCUUUGCUCCCAUAAUUCCAUGCAGUCCCCCCAAAUCAGGUUCUCCCACAGUGCCAGGCAGCCCCCACAGGCCCUCACCCUCUCCCUCAAUUCUUCGUUCUUUCCCACAAGUCACUGUUUCUCCUCCAAUUUCCCAUCCUCUCCCACAAUUCUGUUUUUUCUCUCACGAUUCCUUGUUUUCUCUCCCAGUUCUUCAUGCUGUCCGACAGUUCCCAGCUCUCCCACAAUUCUCUUUUCUCUCACAAUUCCCUAUUCUUUCCACAGUUCAUGCAGCUCCUACAGUCUCCAUUCUCUUCCACAAUUCCUUAUCUCGCCUACAAUCCUCUAUCCUAAAAUACCCUGUAUUCUCUUUGGAUUUCCUUUUCUCCCACACAAUUCUCCACUUUCUCUCAUAAAUCUGUUUUCUCUCAAUAUUCUGCAUUCGCUCUCACAAUUCUUCCUCCUCCCUGUUGAUCAGCCACUCUCUUUUACAGUUCUCUUUGCCCCCACAACUCUUUCUUACAGUUUUCCAUUCUCUUCCACAAUUUCUUCUCACUCCCACAAUUCUGCGUUCUCUCCCACAAUUCCCUAUUGUAGGACUUGACAGAAAAUUUUGUAAUUACAUUUUUGAGUAUGUAUUUCUCUUACCGAUGAGUUUUCUGAAGUUGUAAAAUAUAUCUAUCUUAUUAAGCUGUUUAACUGCUGGUCACAGUGGAGCGUGUCCACAGGUGCCAGUUCACGCACCGUUCCGUGAUGAGGUGAACCAGAAGAGAAAGCACUUUCUUUCUGGAGUUCCUGUUGUGGCUCAUCAGGUUAAGAACCUGACAUGGUCUCUGUGAAGACAGAGGUUCAAUCCCUGGCCUUGCUCAGUGGGUUAAGGAUCCGGCAUUGCCAUGAGCUGCGAUGUAGGUGGCAGAUGCAUGUUGGAUCUGGCAUUGCCGUGGCAGUGGUGUAGGCUGGCAGCUGCAGCUCCAGUUUGAUCCCCUAGCCUGGGAACUUCCAUAUGCUGCAGGUGCAGCCCUAAAAAGAAAAAAAAAAAA